AGGACGAACGCUGGCGGCGUGCCUAAUACAUGCAAGUCGAACGGUCUUUUCUAUGGAAGCUUGCUUCCACUGAGAAGAUAGUGGCGAACGGGUGAGUAACACGUGGGUAACCUGCCCAUAAGAGGGGGGAUAACAUCCGGAAACGGGUGCUAAUACCGCAUAGUUUUCUUGAUCGCAUGAUCGGGAAAGGAAAGACGGCCUUUGUGCUGUCGCUUAUGGAUGGACCCGCGGCGUAUUAGUUAGUUGGUGAGGUAACGGCUCACCAAGACGAUGAUACGUAGCCGACCUGAGAGGGUGAUCGGCCACAUUGGGACUGAGACACGGCCCAAACUCCUACGGGAGGCAGCAGUAGGGAAUCUUCCGCAAUGGACGAAAGUCUGACGGAGCAACGCCGCGUGAGUGAAAGAAGGUUUUCGGAUCGUAAAACUCUGUUGUCAGAGAAGAACAAGUUGGAGAGUAACUGCUCCAGCCUUGACGGUAUCUGACCAGAAAGCCACGGCUAACUACGUGCCAGCCGCCGC
rnacentral:rRNA from 1 species